rnacentral:rRNA from 1 species
CAGCCGCGGUAAUACGAAGGGUGCAAGCGUUACUCGGAAUUACUGGGCGUAAAGAGCCCGCAGGCGGCCUGUCAAGUUUCAGGUGAAAUCUCCCGGCUCAACUGGGAGGGGUCCUGGAAAACUGGCAGGCUUGAGGCAGGGAGAGGGAUGUGGAAUUCCCGGUGUAGUGGUGAAAUGCGUAGAUAUCGGGAGGAACACCAGUGGCGAAGGCGGCAUCCUGGCCCUGUCCUGACGCUCAGGGGCGAAAGCGUGGGGAGCAAAC